GUGGAGCUGAAGAGAUUUUGGAGGAGGACGAUCCAAACGUGCAUUGACGGAAAAGUUGCAGCCGGCGGAGUGGAUUACUUUAACCAGUAGAUGGUUAAGUGCGGUUUCACCUAUGACAAGAUCCUGGAACGCGCUUUGCCGGAGUGUUAUGCUGGUGGUGGCUUGCGACAGCGAUGCCUUCAACAAAUCGGCAUCGGGGGAAAUAAAUUGCAACUUCUGUGCAACCGUAAACUGCACUACGAGCGCUGUGAUGACAACGCCGCUCUGCGGUGCACUAGAGCUAGGGUGCUGGACUGAGGCAGGUUCGGGAAUUGGUGACACGGAAAAGCAUUCAGGAGUAGUCCAUUAUAAUUUCAUCAGAGUAACCUACUUGGAGUGGCUUUUAUCUACGUUAGGUGGUACUUUUUGGUAGAUUGCAUUGAAAAGAAGAAAAUAAAAUAUCUCAUCUUUGUUGUUUCA